rnacentral:pre_miRNA from 1 species
AGUAUAGUGGAAAUAUUUCUGUACAGACUAAAUUGUGAACACCAGUCUGUGGAAAUGCAUCUGCUACAUU